rnacentral:misc_RNA from 1 species
AACCAUUCUCACCUGCGGCUAGACCUGCGGAGGGAUCAUUAUUGAGUUACUGAACUCCAAACCACUGUGAACUUACCACUGUUGCUUCGGCUGUUUCUGUAGUCUAAGAUUGCAGAUCUAGCCGAAGGUUACUUAACUCUUGUUUCUAAUAGUAUCUUCUGAGUGGGUACACAAAUAAAUUAAAACUUUCAGCAAUGGAUCU